rnacentral:rRNA from 1 species
GAAUAUUGGACAAUGGGGGCAACCCUGAUCCAGCCAUGCCGCGUGUGUGAAGAAGGCCUUUUGGUUGUAAAGCACUUUAAGCAGUGAAGAAGACUCCAUGGUUAAUACCCAUGGACGAUGACAUUAGCUGCAGAAUAAGCACCGGCUAACUAUGUUCCAGCAUCCGCGGUAAUGCAGAGGGUUCAAGCGUUAAUCGGAAUUACUGGGAGUAAAGCGAGCGUAGGUGGCUUGAUAAGGCAGAUGUGAAAGCCCCGGGCUGAAACUGGGAACUGCAUCUGAUACUGUGAGGCUAGAAUAGGUGAGAGGAAGGUAGAAUUCCAGGUGUAGCGGUGAAAUGCGUAGAGAUCUGGAGGAAUACCGAUGGCGAAGGCAGCCUUCUGGCAUCAUAUUGACACUGAGGUUCGAAAGCGUGGGUAGCAAACA